rnacentral:rRNA from 1 species
UACGUAGGGUGCGAGCGUUAACCGGAAUUACUGGGCGUAAAGCGUGCGCAGGCGGUUUUGUAAGCCAGAUGUGAAAGCCCCGGGCUUAACCUGGGAAUGGCAUUUGGGACUGCAAGGCUGGAGUGUGGCAGAGGAGACUGGAAUUCCUGGUGUAGCAGUGAAAUGCGUAGAUAUGCGGAGGAACACCGAUGGCGAAGGCAAUCCCCUGGACCUGUACUGACGCUCAUGCACGAAAGCGUGGGGAGCAAACAGG